rnacentral:rRNA from 1 species
GUGAGGGAUAUUGGGCAAUGGGGGAAACCCUGACCCAGCAACGCCGCGUGAGGGAAGAAGGUCUUCGGAUUGUAAACCUAAGUAGUCAGGGACGAAGAAAUGACGGUACCUGAAGAGUAAGCUCCGGCUAACUACGUGCCAGCAGCCGCGGUAAUACGUAGGGAGCGAGCGUUGUCCGGAUUUACUGGGUGUAAAGGGUGCGUAGGCGGGCUGUCAAGUCAGAUGUGAAAUACCGGGGCUCAACUCCGGGGCUGCAUUUGAAACUGAUGGUCUUGAGUGAAGUAGAGGCAGGCGGAAUUCCUAGUGUAGCGGUGAAAUGCGUAGAUAUUAGGAGGAACACCAGUGGCGAAGGCGGCCUGCUGGGCUUUAACUGACGCUGAGGCACGAAAGCAUGGGGAGCAAACAGGA